AUCGGGGCUUUAUCGAAGACCGCUUGGCGCUAAAAUGCAGUGCGUGAAAUGGUUCAAAAUGAAGCCCAAAGCAAUUUUUGAUACGACGGUCACUGAUCUGUGUACUUUAGCCGUUUCAGUAACUUUUACGUGCAAUUACAAAU